GUUCGCUUCCAAAGCACAUAUACUCAAAUUGGAAUGAUACAGAGAAGAUUAGUAUGACCCCUGUGCAAGGAUGACAAGCAAAUUCAAGAAGCAUUCCAUAUAUUU